rnacentral:rRNA from 1 species
UGAAAUUUUCGUUAUAGNUAAACCUGNAUGUCUAAGUACAGGCUAAAUUAAAAGUGAAACCGCAAAAGGCUCAUUAUAUCAGUUAUGGUUUAUUAGAUCAAUUAACAGUUACUUGGAUAACUGUGGUAAUUCUAGAGCUAAUACAUGCAAUAUAAACAUGAACCUUUUGGAACAUGUGCUUUUAUUAGGCUAAAACCAAGCGGUUUUCUCUUCGGAAAAAUCGUUAUAAAUGGUUGAACUCUAGAUAAUUUGCCAAUCAUAUGGUCUUGUACCGAUGAUAUAUCUUUUAAAUGUCUGCCCUAUCAACUAUUGAUGGUAGUAUAUAGGACUACCAUGGUUGCAACGGGUAACGGGGAAUCAGGGUUCGAUUCCGGAGAGGGAGCCUGAGAAACAGCUACCACAUCUAAGGAAGGCAGCAGGCGCGUAAAUUACCCACUCCCAGUUCGGGGAGGUAGUGACGAAAAAUAACAAUACAGGACUCAUAUCCGAGGCCCUGUAAUUGGAAUGAGUACACUUUAAAUCCUUUAACAAGGACCUAUUGGAGGGCAAGUCUGGUGCCAGCAGCUGCGGUAAUUCCAGCUCCAAUAGCGUAUAUUAAAGUUGUUGCGGUUAAAACGUUCGUAGUUGAACUUGUGCUUUAUACAGGUAGUACAACUAUAAUUUGUAGUUUGUACAUUACCUUAUGUAUAUAAGCGUAUUGUCGGUGGAGUUCUAAUAUAUAAUUUAUUAUUUAAUAUAUUAUUUUAUAUAUACCUCCUAUUUUAAAACCUAUUUCAGUGCUCUUUAUCGAGUGUUGUUAUAGGCCG